GGUCUGGGUCCUUCACUUGAAAGCAGGAACAACGUAUCAUUCAAGUCUAUAUACCAAGCACUUAGCUCAGCAUCUGACCAAAUUUCCUAAGUUAACUGAUUGAUUCCCAAUAGUUCUGAAUUUCCA